rnacentral:rRNA from 1 species
UGAUGACGAGUGGCGGACGGGUGAGUAAAGUAUGGGGAUCUGCCGAAUGGAGGGGGACAACAGUUGGAAACGACUGCUAAUACCGCAUAAAGUUGAGAGACCAAAGCAUGGGACUUUCGGGCCAUGCGCCAUUUGAUGAACCCAUAUGGGAUUAGCUAGUUGGUAGGGUAAUGGCUUACCAAGGCGACGAUCUCUAGCUGGUCUGAGAGGAUGACCAGCCACACUGGAACUGAGACACGGUCCAGACUCCUACGGGAGGCAGCAGUGGGGAAUAUUGCACAAUGGGGGGAACCCUGAUGCAGCCAUGCCGCGUGUAUGAAGAAGGCCUUCGGGUUGUAAAGUACUUUCGGUAAUGAGGAAGGUAGCGUAUCUAAUAGGUGCGUUAAUUGACGUUAAUUACAGAAGAAGCACCGGCUAACUCCGUGCCAGCAGCCGCGGUAAUACGGAGGGUGCGAGCGUUAAUCGGAAUGACUGGGCGUAAAGGGCAUGUAGGCGGAUAAUUAAGUUAGGUGUGAAAGCCCUGGGCUCAACCUAGGAAUUGCACUUAAAACUGGUUAACUAGAGUAUUGUAGAGGAAGGUAGAAUUCCACGUGUAGCGGUGAAAUGCGUAGAGAUGUGGAGGAAUACCGGUGGCGAAGGCGGCCUUCUGGACAGAUACUGACGCUGAGAUGCGAAAGCGUGGGGAGCAAACAGGAUUAGAUACCCUGGUAGUCCACGCUGUAAACGAUGUCGAUUUGGAGUUUGUUGCCCUGAGUGAUGGGCUCCGAAGCUAACGCGAUAAAUCGACCGCCUGGGGAGUACGGCCGCAAGGUUAAAACUCAAAUGAAUUGACGGGGGCCCGCACAAGCGGUGGAGCAUGUGGUUUAAUUCGAUGCAACGCGAAGAACCUUACCUGGUCUUGACAUCCACAGAAUCUUGCAGAGAUGCGAGAGUGCCUUCGGGAACUGUGAGACAGGUGCUGCAUGGCUGUCGUCAGCUCGUGUUGUGAAAUGUUGGGUUAAGUCCCGCAACGAGCGCAACCCUUAUCCUUUGUUGCCAUCGGUUAGGCCGGGAACUCAAAGGAGACUGCCGUUGAUAAA